UGAGUGGCGGACGGGUGAGUAACGCGUGGGCAACCUGCCCUGUACAGGGGGACAACACUUAGAAAUAGAUGCUAAUACCGCAUAACGGGGGGAGCCGCAUGGCACCCCCCUGAAAACUCCGGUGGUACAGGAUGGGCCCGCGUCUGAUUAGCUGGUUGGCAGGGUAACGGCCUACCAAGGCGACGAUCAGUAGCCGGCCUGAGAGGGCGGACGGCCACACUGGGACUGAGACACGGCCCAGACUCCUACGGAAGGCAGCAG
rnacentral:rRNA from 1 species